rnacentral:rRNA from 1 species
GGUUGACAUCUAUCUAGAGUUGUAGAGACGUCUGUGUCCUGUCGUAUCUGCUUCACCCAUGAUCUGUUUGAGUACCUUCGUUUCCUCGGCGGGUCCGCCCGCCGAUUGGACACAUUUAAACCCUUUGUAGUUGCAAUCAGCGUCUGAAAAACUUUAAUAGUUACAACUUUCAACAACGGAUCUCUUGGUUCUGGCAUCGAUGAAGAACGCAGCGAAAUGCGAUAAGUAGUGUGAAUUGCAGAAUUCAGUGAAUCAUCGAAUCUUUGAACGCACAUUGCGCCCCUUGGUAUUCCAUGGGGCAUGCCUGUUCGAGCGUCAUUUGUACCUUCAAGCUUUGCUUGGUGUUGGGUGUUUGUCUCGCCUCUGCGCGCAGACUCGCCUCAAAACAAUUGGCAGCCGGCGUAUUGAUUUCGGAGCGCAGUACAUCUCGCGCUUUGCACUCAUAACGACGACGUCCAAAAAGUACAUUUUUUACACUCUUGACCUCGGAUCAGGUAGGGAUACCCGCUGAACUUAAGCAUAUCAAUAAGCGGAGGAAAAGUAACCAAACA